GGGGAUUUAGCUCAGCGGUAGAGCGCUUGCCUAGCGAGCGCAAGGUCCUGGGUUCGGUUCCCAGCUCCG
rnacentral:tRNA from 1 species